rnacentral:siRNA from 1 species
AUGAGUGUUUGAACUGGAAUAGUU